GACGGCGUAGCUCAGUUGGUAGAGCAAGGGACUCAUAAGCCCUGGGUCGGUGGUUCGAUUCCACUCGCCGUCA
rfam:Omnitrophica bacterium RIFCSPLOWO2_12_FTLL_44_17 rifcsplowo2_12_scaffold_465, whole genome shotgun sequence.